rnacentral:lncRNA from 1 species
UGCAGGUUUGAGUUGGAAGAGUUGAACGAAAAAGGAUGGCACUGAAAUUGAAGAAGUGCGAACCAUCAUACCAGAAAUAGAACAUUUAUUUCAAUCCAUGAAAGCUUUGUUCAUUUGGCCUUGAAAACACACUUGGAACUUGUAUAACGAGCACUUAAUAUAUAUUUGCAACCAACAGACUUCUAUGGGUUUGGAACAUCUUUCAAAUUUUAGAUUUUUUGCAUGUAGCAAAUUGAACUUGCAUAAUCAUUUUUUUUAAUUAUUUCAUUAAAAAUUAAAUCUAUGCAAAAAUCACUUAAGUGUCAAUUGACUUUGCUCAAAGUUUAUGGUAGUUGCCUCUUUUGGUAGAAUGUUGAUUUUAAUUGUAUAAUUUUUUUUUUAAGUCCUUUAAGAUGCUUGGACAAAGGUGUUUGUAGAUUGAUAAUACUGUAUUACUAUAAUUUUGGAUCCACAGUAACGAGGUUGCCAUGAACCCAAUAAAUACCAUGUUCGUUCAUGAGAUCUAUGUUCUCUUUGUUCCACUAUUUUUUGGAUGUGUAUCUGUGCGUUGUUUCUCUAGUUCAUUGAUUGGUAUAUAUAAUUUUUUUGUGUGUUGAUGCAAAAAAAAAAUGGCGUUUUUGUUAUGUCAAAAAGUAAAAAUAAAAAAGUCUUGCUUUCAAGAUUUUACAAUCCCAAACCUUUGUUUUCUAAUAG